GGGAUUGCCUCAGUAACGGCGAGUGAAGCGGCAAUAGCUCAAAUUUGAAAUCUGCUCUUUUGAGCCGAAUUGUAAUUUGUAGAGGAUGCUUCGGCUUACGUCUCGGUCUAAGUUCCUUGGAACAGGACGUCACAGAGGGUGAGAAUCCCGUUUGUGGCCGCGACUUCCGCCAUGUGAAGCUCCUUCGACGAGUCGAGUUGUUUGGGAAUGCAGCUCUAAAUGGGAGGUAUAUUUCUUCUAAAGCUAAAUACCGGCCAGAGACCGAUAGCGCACAAGUAGAGUGAUCGAAAGAUGAAAAGCACUUUGGAAAGAGAGUUAAAAAGUACGUGAAAUUGUUGAAAGGGAAGCGCUUGCGACCAGACUUGCCCGCGGAUGCUCAACCGGUCCUUCGGCCGGUGCACUCUUCCGCGGUCAGGCCAGCAUCAGUUCGAGUAGCCAGAUAAAGGCUUAGGGAAUGUGGCUCUCUUCGGGGAGUGUUAUAGCCCUUUGUGCAAUAUGGCUCACUUGGACUGAGGCCCGCGCUUCGGCUAGGAUGCUGGCGUAAUGGUCGUAAGCGGCCCGUCUUGAAACACGGACCAAGGAGUCUAACAUCUAUGCGAGUGUUUGGGUGUCAAACCCGUGCGCGAAAUGAAAGUGAACGGAGGUGGGAACCUUUUGGGUGCACCAUCGACCGAUCCUGAUGUCUUCGGAUGGAUUUGAGUAAGAGCAUAGCUGUUGGGACCCGAAAGAUGGUGAACUAUGCCUGAAUAGGGUGAAGCCAGAGGAAACUCUGGUGGAGGCUCGCAGCGGUUCUGACGUGCAAAUCGAUCGUCAAAUUUGGGUAUAGGGGCGAAA
rnacentral:rRNA from 1 species